ACCAACAGAGUGCUGUGAUUGGCCCACCAAACCAAUAGAGUGCUGCGAUUUUGAUUGACCAAUUCAGAGCCGUGGCCAUAUUUGUUUCGCUCUGUUGCAUUCUGCCCAUCGGGCUGAUAGAGUGCUGGGAUAGGGCCACCAAACCAUUGGAGCACUGGAGUGCUAGAUGUCGGUCGACAAGGCAGUCUGCCAUUAUAUUGUUGAAGAACUCCAUAUAAAAAUAUACAUAAAACAAUAUAUCGUUUUUCUAAUUAAAGAGCAAGUAACGUCUAAAUUAACUUUUUUUUUGCUGAUGAACUGUAUAAAUGAGUGUCUAAUAGUGUUUUAAAUGUGUGCAUUCUUUAUUUUAGCAUUUUGGUGCAUUUUCUUUAAAAAUUAAAAAUUCUGUCUAAAAACCACAGUAAUGCACCACCUUCAGCUGAAAACAUAGAAUUUGAGUCAUUUUGAAUAAAUUUUAGCCAAUGGCUAAAGAGUAAAAUACUACGUAAACCAGUAGAGUACUACGUAGCAGCUCCGUGCCAAAGUUAUAAAAGCAACGAGCGUCUCGGCCACGCCCUGUGGCGAGUGGGAGUUGGAUUUGCAAGCGAGCGUAGGAGGUCAGCGGUAGUUCAGCAUUAGCAUAUAGCAUUAGCAUAUCCUAGUCUUUAGCAUAUAUUUUAGUGUUAUAAAUACUUAUUUAGUGUUAGAUUUGGCUGUUGGAUAUUGUAGUUUAGUUAGUGUUUGGCUGUUAGUGUAAUUGGGAAAGUAGUUAGGGUUUAGUGUUCCAUAUCGUCUUAGUAUUGGUGAGUAGGUGUAGAGUAGUAUGCUUGCGGUGACUCUGUGGGCAUUUUACCCGCGAUUCUGCACGUCUCCGUUUGAAGAGGGAGGCUGCCCACCGUGGCUCUUCCGCGAUUUAGAUGCAGCCCACCGACUCUGCUCCCCCACCACGGUGGGCUCCAGUCUGAGGUGAGUAAGCUAAAUAAACAUUUUAACAUCUUCUAAAGACAAUUCCCUACCUAAAUGCAAAGUCUGAGAGACGUGGUUCACUUCCUUUAGCUAGUCAGUCAGCAAUUCUGCAACAGUGGCUCUAACUGACGUGAAAUCCAGCUUGUGACCCAGUUCUGUAAGGAAUUUUGUUCAGGAGGUCACAUUUCAGGCUCUCCACAUCAUGUGUGACUGACUUUUACGUUAUAACAACGAUCACACACUAGGAAUGUUAUAAAGUGCCUAUAUAGGAGAUUCUUUUGUAUAUUAUCUGACUUUAUAAACUCCCAACAACAAUGUGCUUCUAUUUUUUUUUUCAGGCUAAAUCUACCCAAGACACUGGCUGUCAGACUGAUUUAGCUGCAAGAAUGUACUUGUCCAGGCUGACGUGAAACCUUUCCUGUAGCAAAGCCAGCCAGAAUGGAGUUCACAGCCGCAGUGUGUCUUGUGACCCACGGGGACCAUGAUGAAAAUUCAUCUUCCAGAAGGUCCCAGAGCAGCUGCCACACCCCCUGAAAAGACCAAGGUGUGAGGUGUCUGCUGUUGAUUCCAGCUUCCACCUCAGUGACAGUGCAAGCUCAGUGAACUGUUCAAGGUAAAAAAAAAAUUUAAACAUUUCAGAAUUUUUAAGAUAUUAACAAUUAAAUAAGUAUGUGAUUACAUCAUGACAUCAUGAAGGAGGCUACUGAUUCUGCCCCCGUGACACUUGGUGGUGACGUGUGAGCUGAUUCACCUGGAAAACAACUUUUACAUUAAAUAUUUUGUUUUUGCUAUCAAAAGUAAAUUAACUAAUAACCUGCAUUAUUGCAGGACACUCAGCAAAAUAUGGACUCUACACCAUGAGGCAGGCACACGUUAAUAACUCUGUAAGAGCACAUAAGGUGAGCAACACCACAUAUUGUACACUGUCCUGAAUUUGUUUUCUUUCUGCAUCUCAUUAGCCUGGCUGAUCACCUGAUAACUCCUGUCAUCUGGUUAUGACAGCAUGAGGAUGUCCUCACACACCUGUAACCUAUCAGCUCAUCUGGCAGAAUAGAGAGAGAAGAGACAACACCACAUCUCCUGUUCCUGGAAAGCCUUCAGCCAUCCUUCGAUGACUGAGAACCUCCAUCAGCUCUGUCUCCUGUCUGCCCACAAUUAUUAUAAUAAAUAUUGUGUUUGACAAGUUU